rnacentral:rRNA from 1 species
UACGGGGGGAGCAAGCGUUGUUCGGAUUUACUGGGCGUAAAGGGCGCGUAGGCGGCCACCGCAAGUCAAUUGUGAAAUCUCCGGGCUUAACUCGGAAAGGUCAACUGAUACUGCGGGGCUAGAGUGCGGAAGGGGCAACUGGAAUUCUCGGUGUAGCGGUGAAAUGCGUAGAUAUCGAGAGGAACACCUGCGGCGAAGGCGGGUUGCUGGGCCGACACUGAGGAGCGAAAGCGUGGGGAGCGAACAGG